rnacentral:rRNA from 1 species
CAGCAGCCGCGGUAAUACGUAGGUGGCAAGCGUUGUCCGGAUUUAUUGGGCGUAAAGCGAGCGCAGGCGGUUUUUUAAGUCUGAUGUGAAAGCCUUCGGCUCAACCGAAGAAGUGCAUCGGAAACUGGGAAACUUGAGUGCAGAAGAGGACAGUGGAACUCCAUGUGUAGCGGUGAAAUGCGUAGAUAUAUGGAAGAACACCAGUGGCGAAGGCGGCUGUCUGGUCUGUAACUGACGCUGAGGCUCGAAAGUAUGGGUAGCAAACAGGAUUAGAUACCCUGGUAGUCCAUACCGUAAACGAUGAAUGCUAAGUGUUGGAGGGUUUCCGCCCUUCAGUGCUGCAGCUAACGCAUUAAGCAUUCCGCCUGGGGAGUACGGCCGCAAGGCUGAAACUCAAAGGAAUUGAC